GAGUUUGAUCGUGGCUCAGAUUGAACGCUGGCGGCAGGCCUAACACAUGCAAGUCGGGCGGUAGAGAGAAGCUUGCUUCUCUUGAGAGCGGCGGACGGGUGAGUAAUGCCUAGGAAUCUGCCUGGUAGUGGGGGAUAACGCUCGGAAACGGACGCUAAUACCGCAUACGUCCUACGGGAGAAAGCAGGGGACCUUCGGGCCUUGCGCUAUCAGAUGAGCCUAGGUCGGAUUAGCUAGUUGGUGAGGUAAUGGACUCACCAAGGCGACGAUCCGUAACUGGUCUGAGAGGAUGAUCAGUCACACUGGAACUGAGACACGGUCCAGACUCCUACGGGAGGCAGCAGUGGGGAAUAUUGGACAAUGGGCGAAAGCCUGAUCCAGCCAUGCCGCGUGUGUGAAGAAGGUCUUCGGAUUGUAAAGCACUUUAAGUUGGGAGGAAGGGCAGUAAAUUAAUACUUUGCUGUUUUGACGUUACCGACAGAAUAAGCACCGGCUAACUCUGUGCCAGCCGCCGACGG
rnacentral:rRNA from 1 species